GCCCGGAUGGCGAAACGGCAAACGCAACGGUCUUAAACACCGUGGCCGAAAGGCGGUGCGGGUUCGAGUCCCGCUCCGGGCACCA
rnacentral:tRNA from 2 species